UCUUGGAUUUAAAUAAAUGUAAAUUUACCAGAGUACUAUGAAUCUUAUUAAAAAUUUAAAACUCAAAGAGCUUGGCGGUGUUUUAGACCUCUCAGGGGAACCUGUCUCUUAAUCGACAAUCCACGUUAAACCUAACCCUUUUUAGCGUAACAGUUUGUAUACCAUCGUCGUCAGGUAACUUUUAAAAAUUUAGAAGUUGGCAACUAAAUGUUUAUGAAUUUAGACGUCAGAUCAAGGUGCAGCUUAUAUAAGGGUGAGGAUGGGUUACAAUUAACAGUUAUAUAUACGGAUAUAACAAUGAAAUACGUGUUAUAAUGAAGGAGGACUUGAAAGUAAGGAUAAUUUAUAUAAAGACGAUCUGAAUUAGGCUCUGAAACAUGC
rnacentral:rRNA from 1 species